rfam:Schistosoma haematobium scaffold60_48, whole genome shotgun sequence.
AUCCAGCUGACGAGUCUCAAAUAGGGUGAACGUGAGUCCUGGAU